UGGCGACCGGCGCACGGGUGCGUAACGCGUAUGCAACCUACCCAUAACAGGGGGAGUAACACUGAGAAAUUGGUACUAAUACCCCAUAACAUCAGGACCGGCAUCGGUUCUGGUUGAAAACCCCGGUGGUUAUGGAUGGGCAUGCGUUGUAUUAGCUGGUUGGUGAGGUAACGGCUCACCAAGGCAACGAUACAUAGGGGGACUGAGAGGUUAACCCCCCACAUUGGUACUGAGACACGGACCAA
rnacentral:rRNA from 1 species